rnacentral:rRNA from 1 species
CCUACGGGGUGCAGCAGUCGAGAAUCAUUCACAAUGGGGGAAACCCUGAUGGUGCGACGCCGCGUGGGGGAAUGAAGGUCUUCGGAUUGUAAACCCCUGUCAUGUGGGAGCAAAUUAAAAAGAUAGUACCACAAGAGGAAGAGACGGCUAACUCUGUGCCAGCAGCCGCGGUAAUACAGAGGUCUCAAGCGUUGUUCGGAAUCACUGGGCGUAAAGCGUGCGUAGGCUGUUUCGUAAGUCGUGUGUGAAAGGCCCGGGCUCAACCCGCGGACGGCACAUGAUACUGCGAGACUAGAGUAAUGGAGGGGGAACCGGAAUUCUCGGUGUAGCAGUGAAAUGCGUAGAUAUCGAGAGGAACACUCGUGGCGAAGGCGGGUUCCUGGACAUUAACUGACGCUGAGGCACGAAGGCCAGGGGAGCGAAAGGGAUUAGAUACCCCAGUAGUC